rnacentral:rRNA from 1 species
UACAGAGGGUGCGAGCGUUAAUCGGAAUUACUGGGCGUAAAGCGUGCGUAGACGGCUAUCUAAGUCGGGUGUGAAAGCCCCGGGCUCAACCUGGGAAUUGCAUUCGAGACUGAAUAGCUAGGGUACGGUAGAGGGAAGCGGAAUUUCCGGUGUAGCGGUGAAAAUGCGUAGAUAUCGGAAGGAACAUCAGUGGCGAAGGCGGCAUCCUGGACCGGUAUUGACGCUGA